GCGCCAUGGCAUGCAGAAGAAGAAGCAUGUUGCAUCAGGUCAGAGGUCCAUCUGUUCUUGAGUUCUGUUCCCAACCAGGACCUAAAGCUGAUGGUCUUCAUCUGCUGUUCAUCCCCACUCAUGUACCAUUCAGAGAUACACCCUGGCUUGCAGUUCCAUCCUUCGUUUUCGUGGCUAAAAGUCCCUGAAAGGAAAUACUCCUAUUCUGCACAGUUUGGGUCCAAAUUAAGCUAACCAGUGGAAUGAGCCGAGUAGGACCUUCCAUGUGAAUCGAAGAGCAAGCCACUUAUCUCCUGUAACUAACUCUGUGUUGGCCGUUUCCAUAAAGAAAGUUUUCAUUUC